rnacentral:tRNA from 1 species
AGGCCUAUAGCUCAGCGGUAGAGCUCUUGCCUUACAAGCAAGCUGUCAUCGGUUCAAAUCCGGUUGGGCCUA